rnacentral:lncRNA from 1 species
UUUUAAGGUUGUAACGGGGCUUAGGCGCAAGGUGGGAAAAACAAACAAAAAAGGGGGAAACUAGUGGUUUAGGCUCAGAGUCUGUGUUGUUAUCCUCAUCACUAUGUUCAAUGGUUCACCUUAGAGAUUCUUGGACACCACUCUUGUUAGGAUUCAUUAGUUUUUGUUUUGUUUUUACUCACGUGUUUCUUUGAGCAUGCUUUUUGCCAAACUAAAUCUCCUCUAGAUAAGUGCUUUAUUCUACUUCUCAUUUUUUUCUUUCUCUCUUUUUUUUUGAAGUUUCACAAUAAUUU